rnacentral:rRNA from 1 species
UGGUGGAGUGAUUUGUCUGGUUAAUUCCGAUAACGAACGAGACCUUAAUCUGCUAAAUAGACCGUGUAACUUUGGUUGCACGUGUCUUCUUAGAGAGACUACGAAUGUUAUAAUUCGUGGAAGUUUGAGGCAAUAACA